rnacentral:rRNA from 1 species
UACGAAGGGGGCUAGCGUUGUUCGGAAUCACUGGGCGUAAAGGGCGCGUAGGCGGCUUUAUAAGUCGGGGGUGAAAGCCUGUGGCUCAACCACAGAAUUGCCUUCGAUACUGUAGAGCUUGAGACCGGAAGAGGUAAGUGGAACUGCGAGUGUAGAGGUGAAAUUCGUAGAUAUUCGCAAGAACACCAGUGGCGAAGGCGGCUUACUGGUCCGGUUCUGACGCUGAGGCGCGAAAGCGUGGGGAGCGAUCCGG